GUGAAAGAGCCUGGUGUGGAAA
rnacentral:piRNA from 1 species